UAGCGUAGUUCGGAAUUACUGGGCUUAAAGAGUACGUAGGUGGUUAAAAAAGUUGGUGGUGAAAUCCCAGAGCUCAACUCUGGAACUGCCAUCAAAACUUUUUAACUAGAGUAUGAUAGAGGUAAGCGGAAUUUCUAGUGUAGAGGUGAAAUUCGUAGAUAUUAGAAAGAACACCAAAUGCGAAGGCAGCUUUCUGGAUCAUUACUGACACUGAGGUACGAAAGCAUGGGUAGCGAAGAGGAUUAGAUACCCUCGUAGUCCAUGCCGUAAACGAUGUGUGCUAGACGUUGGGAAUUUAUUUUUCAGUGUCGCAGCAAAAGCGUUAAGCACACCGCCUGGGGAGUACGACCGCAAGGUUAAAACUCAAAUGAAUUGACGGGGACCCGCACAAGUAGUGGAGCAUGUGGUUUAAUUCGAAGAUACGCGCAGAACCUUACCAACACUUGACAUGUUCGUCGCGACUCUAAGAGAUUAGAGUUUUCGGUUCGGCCGGACGAAACACAGGUGCUGCAUGGCUGUCGUCAGCUCGUGUCGUGAGAUGUUGGGUUAAGUCCCGCAACGAGCGCAACCCUCAUUUUUAGUUGCCAUCAUUAAGUUGGGCACUCUAAAAAAACUGCCAGUGAUAAGCUGGAGGAAGGUGGGGAUGACGUCAAGUCCUCAUGGCCCUUACGUGUUGGGCUACACACGUGCUACAAUGGUACUUACAGUGAGAUGCUAAGACGCGAGUCCAAGCAAAACUCAAAAAGGUACCUCAGUUCGGAUUGCACUCUGCAACUCGAGUGCAUGAAGCUGGAAUUACUAGUAAUCGCGGAUCAGCGCGCCGCGGUGAAUACGUUCCCGGGUCUUGUACACACCGCCCGUCACACCAUGGAAGUUGGUUUCACCUUAAGGCAAAAUGUUAACCCUCGG
rnacentral:rRNA from 1 species